UGCUUAAGGAAAUGGUGAACCCUGGGGACACAGGUGUCAGUUUAUGUCAUUCCUGGUCUUGUAGAGAGGUGGAUGGGGAGACCCCCCCAGUAGGCUGGGGGGCUGUGAUAAAGGAGGGGAGAGAGAAGAGGUGAGGUCUGCCUGGGGCUCUGAGGUUAGGGAACCAGGUGAGGGGAAAUGACAGAACAGGUCAGCAAGGCCAUCCUGCAGGGCCUCCUGCACUGGGCCUGGUCCUGACGGAUAUGAGAGACUCAGAGCAGGGAUGGCAGGACAGAGUGGGCUGGGGCGGGGACAAAGCUGCCCACCAGGACGGGGGACAGGCAUGGCCCAGGGGCCGGCGGGCCUGGAGACAGACAUUUCAAAUAGCAGAUUCGGAAAGUGGGGAUAUUGGGAACACGGAGAGAGGGAGCUGGAGAAGGAGCUGAUUGGCAAGGCUGAGAAGUAAAGGUUUUAUGUCCAGCCCCAUGGGGCUACUGGCCCACAGGUGCACCCACCUUCCCCUCUGUGGGAAGAGUGGGAGGAAGAACCCCAACAUCUGGUCAGAGGGCCACCAAACACAGCACCCAUCAAACCAGAACGAUGGCAGAAAGAAUUUCAACAGCAACUCAGAAAACAAAUUCACCAUGAAAAUGCAGAGCAAGGAGUUAGGAGCCUCACUCUAGGAGCAGCAUAACUUUUUGGCAAGGGCACGACACAAGUCUGAUGAAUACAAAGGAAAGUAGGACUGAGGUGCAGCACUGGGCACUACCCCCCGGGAGGAACACGGACUCCUCCCCACUGCAACAGACCCAGCUCUGUUCAGCUUCACACGCCAGCCUCAGGCCCCCACUGCUCCAAAGACCAGCUCACCAGGGAGCCCCAAGCGGGAAAGGCCAUCGCAGGCAGGAUGACGUGUCUCUAAGUGGACCCUGACACAGAUCCCUAACUUGGACCAAAAUAAAUUCUAAAUGGGUCAAAGAUGUAAAUGUUUAAAAAUAACCAUAAAAGUACUAGAAGGGAGCACGGAGAGCAUACUGCGAGCUCACAAAGCCCAAACUGUGAAAGAUUGCUUACCUCACUUGAUUUAAAAUUUCCUACAUGGCAAAACUCAAAUAAACAAAGCAAAAGUCAAACAACAAGUGAGGAAAAGUGUAAGUAUUUAGGGAUAAAGCCUUACAAUGUAAAGAGCCUGUCCAAUCAAUAAGACAAGGUCCAACUACCCAGUAAAAAAAUGAGUCAAGGCUGUUACAGAACAAGGGACAACACAACUUUAAAAUAAAUUAAAACUGUUCAACCUGACUCAUGGUAGAAGAAAUGGAA